rnacentral:rRNA from 1 species
UCUGGAGACAGGUGCUGCAUGGCUGUCGUCAGCUCGUGUCGUGAGAUGUUGGGUUAAGUCCCGCAACGAGCGCAACCCUUGCCUUUAGUUGCCAGCAGUUCGGCUGGGCACUCUAAAGGGACUGCCGGUGGUUAAACCGGAGGAAGGUGGGGAUGACGUCAAGUCCUCAUGGCCUUUAUGACCAGGGCUACACACGUACUACAAUGGCCGAUACAAAGGGCAGCGACACUGCGAGGUGAAGCCAAUCCCGUAAAAUCGGUCUCAGUCCGGAUUGGAGUCUGCAACUCGACUCCAUGAAGUUGGAAUCGCUAGUAAUCGUGGAUCAGCAUGCCACGGUGAAUACGUUCCCGGGCCUU